rnacentral:rRNA from 1 species
CCCAGACUCCUACGGGAGGCAGCAGUGGGGAAUAUUGCACAAUGGGGGAAACCCUGAUGCAGCAACGCCGCGUGAGUGAAGAAGUAUCUCGGUAUGUAAAGCCCUAUCGGCAGGGAAGAAGGAGGACGGUACCUGACUAAGAAGCCCCGGCUAACUACGUGCCAGCAGCCGCGGGAAUACGUAGGGGGCAAGCGUUAUCCGGAUUUACUGGGUGUAAAGGGGGCGCAGACGGCAGCGCAAGCCAGGAGUGAAAGCCCGGGGCCCAACCCCGGGACUGCUCUUGGAACUGCGUGGCUAGAGUGCAGGAGGGGCAGGCGGAAUUCCUGGUGUAGCGGUGAAAUGCGUAGAUAUCAGGAGGAACACCGGUGGCGAAGGCGGCCUGCUGGACUGCAACUGACGUUGAGGCCCGAAAGCGUGGGGAGCAAACAGGAUUAGAUACCCCUGCG